AUACCGGGCCUUUUUCGGCUUGGUAAUUGGAAUGAGGGAGAGUUAAACGGACCAUCGAGUAUCCAUUGGAGGGCAAGUCUGGUGCCAGCAGCUGCGGUAAUACCAGCUCCAAUAGCGUAUAUUAAAGUUGUUGCAGUUAAAAAGCUCGUAGUUGGACUUGUGUGCGCUGUCCGCGGGUGGCCUGCGCCCAAAAGGGCGUUUCGGUUCGGCCCCGGUGGCGCCUUGAAAUCUGCAGCUGGGGGGACGUUGGCCUUAACUGGUCGGCGACCGCACGCCGGCUGCUCGGUUACUGUGAGAAAAUUAGAGUGUUCAAGGCAGGCAUUGGGUGCAAUUGAAUACAUUAGCAUGGAAUAAUAAAAUAUGGCUCCUGCCGUAUUUUGUUGGUUUUGACUGGUGGGAGUAAUGAUUGAUAGGGACGGUUGGGGGUGCUAGUAUUGAGCGGCCAGAGGUGAAAUUCAUGGAUUCGCUCAAGACUAACUUAUGCGAAAGCAUUCACCAAGGACGUCCUCUUUAAUCAAGAACGAAAGUUGGGGGAUCGAAGACGAUCAGAUACCGUCGUAGUCUCAACCAUAAACUAUGUCGACUUGGGAUCGGCGGUAGUUUUUUUCAUUAAGACACUGUCGGGACCACGGGAGAAAUCAAAGUGUCUGGACUCUGGGGGAAGUAUGGUCGCAAGGCUGAAACUUGAAGGAAUUGACGGAAGGGCACCACCAGGAGUGGAGCCUGCGGCUUAAUUUGACCCAACACGGGGAAACUUACCAGGUCCAGAGAUGUAGAGGAUUGACAGAUUGAAGCUCUUUCUUGAUCACUUCGGUGGUGGUGCAUGGCCGUUCUUAGUUGGUGGAGUGAUUUGUCUGGUUAAUUCCGUUAACGAACGAGACCUCAGCCUGCUAGUGUAGUCGGCUGGAUUGCCUUUGGCGAUCCGUGAUUUCGACUUCUUAGAGGGACAAUCGACGCGCAGUCGAUGGAAGUUUGAGGCAAUAACAGGUCUGUGAUGCCCUUAGAUGUUCUGGGCCGCACGCGCGCUACACUGCUGGGCUCAGCGAGUUUUACUUGGCCGAGAGGCCCGGUUAAUCUUGUGAAAUCCCAGCGUGCUUGGGCUCGCCUCCUGCAACUGGAGGCGCCAACGAGGAAUCCCUAGUAGACGCAGGUCAUCAACCUGCAUCGAUUACGUCCCUGCCCUUUGCACACACCGCCCGUCGUUCCAUAAGAGUGAGGCAUCCGGUGAAUUCUCGGGAGAGCCUGGGCGUGGCCAGCAAUGGUCUGCUCGGGUUUGAGCUUGCAUAAACUUGG
rnacentral:rRNA from 1 species